GAUUCCUGCCUCUGUCCCUGGGACCUCGGUCCUCAGCUUACGUUACAGGUUGACCUCCCAUCUCACAGAUGAAGAAACUGAGGCGCCCGACACAGCAAAGACAUGAACCCAGUCUGGAGGGGCCCCCGGAAGGAGUUCUCUCAGGAGCCAACACAGCACACCCCUGGGACCCCUCCGCCUACCACACCCCAACCAGCGUCCUCACCGGCUUCAAGGUCACAAACACAGGAUGACCCCCCGCCAUCAACGUCAUGGGUUCAUAACAGUCAAAAAAGGGCUCAAUGAUGAUGACCUAGCAAAAGGAUCUGAUUAGCUGGGGUCAGUAUGGCCCCCGACCCUCAUCCCCACCGGGCCCGAGCCUCGAUCACUCACCUCGUCUCCUUCUUCCACCAGGGCCUGGAAGGCUGUGAACAGGGCCCCAUAGGCACCCACAGUCACCAGCACGUUCUUGAGUGGGUCUAUCUCCCGUCCCAGCAGCUUCCCAAAGAAACUUGCCAGGAUCUUUGUCAGGGGUGGGUAACCCUGCCAGGACAGCAGUGGUCAGCCCCCUGGCUCGGCCUGGGCCCACCCUCCCGCUCAGCUGCAUCCAGGCGGUUCUAGCACUUUCUAGCAAUAGUCCUGAGGCAAUGUUGGCUCAAGUUGGGUGAGUUCUUUUAUCUCCCCUACCAGUGCUUGUCAUAAAGCCUGUUCUGUGCGGUCCCAAUGCCCAGGGCUGGCAUUUGGUGGAGACCCGGAGACCCAGACAGAGCGCGUGCCUUCGCGGAGCACAGUCCAACAGAGCCCCACAGUAGCGGCAACUCCACAAUUUCAGUUUAAGAAGGACAUUCGUGCCAUCUGAUCAUCCCAGCAGCUUUGCAAGACAUGAUUCCCACCAUUCGACUGGUAGAAAAACAGAGACUCAGAGACAGGAAAUGACUUGCUCAAGGUCAUGCACAGUUGAGGUGCAGGAAUAGGCCUUUACAUCACAGCUUUGGAAGCACCCUGCUUUGAGAGGAAGGUUGGAUCCGUACGCUUGUUUGCUGAGGACACUUAUAAAACACUUGAGGCUAAGCCAAGUGACUGAAACCUGCGGUCUAGAACUUAACUAAAUAAUCCACUAAAUCAGAUUUGACCACAGAAAAUUUUCUGUACAGGAAAAUAUACCAUGAGCAAAGUUAAAAGACAAACAUUGCAAGUUAAGAGAAGGAGGUAAGAUGUUUAAUAUAUAAAGAGCUCUUACAAAACAACAAGACAAAGAUAUAUACCUAAAUGAAAAAAAUGAAGUAGGUCAUGAAAGAAAAAGUGUUGAUGCCCAAUACACACAUAAUUGAGGAAAAGCAAAUAAAAGCAACAUUGAAAGAUUGCUCUAAUAUUAUAAGAAUAUAAUAUCAGUAUUAAAAAGAUUGGCAAGAGUAUAGGACAAAUGGGUGGUCUCUCUACAGAACGAACUUUCCUGCCAGGUCUGCGACCAGUCUGUUGGUGGGGAUGUGAGUAAGCCUUUUUGGAAGGCAAUCUGACAGUGUCUACCACAUGUUUACACGCUUAGACCCUUUGAUUCUCUAGUUUUACUGCCAGGGAUCUAAGAGAAACACGCACACGGGUGU